UUUAGUGGCGGACUGGUGAGUAACGCGUAAGGAACCUACCUUUUAGAGGGGAAUAACAAUGAGAAAUCAUUGCUAAUACCGCAUAUGCCAUGAGUGUUGCAUGACACAAGUGGGAAAGGAGCAAUUCGCUAGAAGAUGGCCUUGCGUCUGAUUAGAUAGUUGGUGGGGUAACGGCCUACCAAGUCGACGAUCAGUAGCCGGACUGAGAGGUUGAACGGCCACAUUGGGACUGAGAUACGGCCCAGACUCC
rnacentral:rRNA from 1 species